AUUCGUAUCAUAAUGGUCAAAACUUUGACCUUUCCGAACGUAGCUUAUUUGUUCACUGCAUUCGGUCAAUGGCAGUAAGUCAACAAAAAAAUGCAGAAUUUGUAAUUGAGGAAUUUCAACCAUCGAUAUCAAUGGGAUUUCAAAUAGAUACAGUCAAGGGUUUAGUUGAAGCUAAUUCGUUUAAAGUGAUUAGAAUAACAUGGAAUCCACAUAAUAAUGUUCUGGAAAAUAACGAGAGUGAACAAACAAAUGUUUCCGCACGUGUUAUAUUAGUACUUAAAACAAAUGUCGUUGAACGAAUAAAUGUGAAUCUGAUAGG